AGAGUGCGUAAUAGCUCACUGGUCAAGUGAUCGUGCGCCGACAAUGUAGCGGGGCUCAAGCACACCGCCGAAGCCGCGGACCCAUGACGUUGUUCCCUUCACUGUCCGGCUUGCCCGGGUGGUGGCAGGGGUUGUGGGUGGUAGGGGAGCGUCCUGCACCGGGGGAAGCCUGUGGGUGACUGCUGGUGGACGGUGCGGGAGUGAGAAUGCAGGCAUGAGUAGCGAUACUAGGGUGAGAAGCCCUAGCGCCGAAUGACCAAGGGUUCCAGGGCCAGGCUAGUCCGCCCUGGGUGAGUCGGGACCUAAGGCGAGGCCGACAGGCGUAGUCGAUGGAUGACGGGUUGAUAUUCCCGUACCGGCGAAGCACCGCCCAUGCUGACGCGCGGGUGCUAACCCACGCCCAGCCACCAUGUAGGCCGCGCCUACUCCUUUCGGGGGGUGGUGUGGUUGUGGUGGUGGGGUCUGGGGAUCCUCCGUGCAGGUAGGCAAGCGUGUUAACAGGGGUGACGCACAGUGGUAGCCCGGCGGACCUGAUGGCUUGGUCCGUUCAAGCGCGCAGCCCGUCCUCCAGGUAAAUCCGGAGUGACUGCCUCCUUGAGAGGUGAGGGUGAGGCGUGAUGGUGACCCCACGCUGGUGGGGGAUAACAGGGUGAUCCUGGGGUGCCGAGAAAAGCCUCGACGCGAUGGUGCCAGCCGCCCGUACCCUAAACCGACACAGGUGGUCGGGCAGAGUAUGCCUAGGCGCACGAGUGAAUCAUGGUUAAGGAACUCGGCAAAAUGCCCCCGUAACUUCGGGAGAAGGGGGGCCUGAUCCCUGAAGCCCCAUCGCGGGCUAGGGGGGAGGGUCGCAGAGGCCAGGGGGAAGCGACUGUUUACUAAAAACACAGGUCCGUGCGAAGCCGUAAGGCGAUGUAUACGGACUGACGCCUGCCCGGUGCUGGAAGGUUAAGAGGAACCAUCAACCCCCUCGUGGGGUGAAGUGGUGAAUUUAAGCCCCAGUAAACGGCGGUGGUAACUAUAACCAUCCUAAGGUAGCGAAAUUCCUUGUCGGGUAAGUUCCGACCUGCACGAAUGGCGUAACGACUUCCCCGCUGUCUCAACCAUGAGCUCGGCGAAAUUGCAGUACGAGUAAAGAUGCUCGUUUCGCGCAGAAGGACGGAAAGACCCCGGGACCUUUACUACAGCUUGGUAUUGGCGCCCGCUAUAGCUUGUGCAGGAUAGGUGGGAGACUGUGAAGCCGUUACGCCAGUGGCGGUGGAGUCGUCCUUGAAAUACCACUCUGGUUAUGGCGUGCGCCUGAACCUGGGCCCGUGAUCCGGGUUAGGGACAGUGCCUGGUGGGUAGUUUAACUGGGGCGGUUGCCUCCUAAAGUGUAACGGAGGCGCUCAAAGGUUCCCUCGGCCUGGUCGGUAACCAGGUGUUGAGUGUAAGUGCACAAGGGAGCUUGACUGUGAGACUGACGGGUCGAGCAGGUACGAAAGUAGGAACUAGUGAUCCGGCGAUCCCGUGUGGGUGGGUCGUCGCUCAACGGAUAAAAGGUACCCCGGGGAUAACAGGCUGAUCCUGCCCAAGAGUCCAUAUCGACGGCAUGGUUUGGCACCUCGAUGUCGGCUCGUCGCAUCCUGGGGCUGGAGCAGGUCCCAAGGGUUGGGCUGUUCGCCCAUUAAAGCGGUACGCGAGCUGGGUUUAGAACGUCGUGAGACAGUUCGGUCCCUAUCCUCUGCGCGCGCAGGAGACUUGAGAAGGCCUGUCCCUAGUACGAGAGGACCGGGACGGACGAACCUCUGGUGUGCCAGUUGUCCCGCCCGGGGCACGGCUGGUUGGCUACGUUCGGGAAGGGUAACCGCUGAAAGCAUCUAAGCGGGAAACCAUCUUCAAGAUAAGGUCUCCACAAGAAGGACUUGU
rnacentral:rRNA from 1 species